rnacentral:rRNA from 1 species
AUUGAACGCUGGCGGCAGGCCUAACACAUGCAAGUCGAGCGGAUGAAGGGAGCUUGCUCCUGGAUUCAGCGGCGGACGGGUGAGUAAUGCCUAGGAAUCUGCCUGGUAGUGGGGGAUAACGUCCGGAAACGGGCGCUAAUACCGCAUACGGCCUGAGGGAGAAAGUGGGGGCUCUUCGGACCUCACGCUAUCAGAUGAGCCUAGGUCGGAUUAGCGAGUUGGUGGGGUAAAGGCCUACCAAGGCGACGAUCCGUAACUGGUCUGAGAGGAUGAUCAGUCACGCUUGAACUGAGACACGGUCCAGACGCCUACGGGAGGCAGCAGUUGGGAAUAUUGGACGAUGGGCGAAAGCCUGAUCCAGCCAGGCCGCGUGUGUGAAGAAGGUCUUCGGAUUGUAAAGCACUUUAAGUUGGGAGGAAGGGCAGUAAGUUAAGACCUUGCUGUUUUGACGUUACCAACAGAAUAAGCACCGGCUAACUUCGUG